GUCCCAGACUCCUACGGGAGGCAGCAGUGGGGAAUAUUGCACAAUGGGGGAAACCCUGAUGCAGCAACGCCGCGUGAGUGAAGAAGUAUUUCGGUAUGUAAAGCUCUAUCAGCAGGGAAGAAGAUGACGGUACCUGACUAAGAAGCCCCGGCUAACUACGUGCCAGCAGCCGCGGUAAUACGUAGGGGGCAAGCGUUAUCCGGAUUUACUGGGUGUAAAGGGAGCGUAGACGGCGGUGCAAGCCAGAUGUGAAAGCCCGGGGCUCAACCCCGGGACUGCAUUUGGAACUGUGCUGCUAGAGUGUCGGAGAGGCAGGCGGAAUUCCUAGUGUAGCGGUGAAAUGCGUAGAUAUUAGGAGGAACACCAGUGGCGAAGGCGGCCUGCUGGACGAUGACUGACGUUGAGGCUCGAAAGCGUGGGGAGCAAACAGGAUUAGAUACCCGAGUA
rnacentral:rRNA from 1 species